CGGUCAGUCAGUCAGUCAGACAUGUUAGGCAAUGGGACGGUCAGUCAGUCAGACACGUUAGGCAAUGGGACGGUCAGUCAGUCAGAUACGUUAGGCAAUGGGACAGUCAGUCAGUCAGACACAUUAGGCAAUGGGACGGUCAGUCAGUUAUACAUGUUAGGCAAUGGGACGGUCAGUCUGUCAGUCAGACAUGUUUGGCAAUGGGACGGUCAGUCAGUCAGUCAGUUAGACACGUUAGGCAAUGGGAUGUUCAGUCAGUCAGUCAGACACGUUAGGCAAUGGGACGGUCAGUCAGUCAGAUACGUUAGGCAAUGGGACAGUCAGUCAGUCAGACACAUUAGGCAAUGGGACGGUCAGUCAGUUAUACAUGUUAGGCAAUGGGACGGUCAGUCUGUCAGUCAGACAUGUUUGGCAAUGGGACGGUCAGUCAGUCAGUCAGUUAGACACGUUAGGCAAUGGGAUGUUCAGUCAGUCAGUCAGACACGUUAGGCAAUAGGACGGUCAGUCAGUCAGUCAGACAUGUUAGGCAAUGGGACGGUCAGUCAGUUAGACACGUUAGGCAAUGGGAUGGUCAGUCAGUCAGUCAGUCAGACACGUUAGGCAAUGGGAUGGUCAGUCAGUCAGUCAGACACGUUAGGCAAUGGGACGGUCAGUCAGUCAGUCAGUCAGACAUGUUAGGCAAUGGGACAGUCAGUCAGUCAGACACGUUAGGCAAUGGGACAGUCAGUCAGUCAGACACGUUAGGCAAUGGGACAGUCAGUCAGUUAGUCAGUCAGACACAUUAGGCAAUGGGACAGUCAGUCAGUCAGACAUGUUAGGCAAUGGGACAGUGAGUCAGUCAGACACGUUAGGCAAUGGGACAGUCAGUCAGUCAGACACGUUAGGCAAUGGGACAGUCAGUCAGUCAGACACGUUAGGCAAUGGGACGGUCAGUCAGUCAGUCAGUCAGACAUGUUAGGCAAUGGGACAGUCAGUCAGUCAGACACGUUAGGCAAUGGGACAGUCAGUCCGUCAGACACGUUAGGCAAUGGGACAGUCAGUCAGUUAGUCAGUCAGACACGUUAGGCAAUGGGACAGUCAGUCAGUCAGUCAGAUACGUUAGGCAAUGGGACGGUCAGUCAGUCAGACACAUUAGGCAAUGGGACGGUCAGUCAGUCAGUCAGACACAUUAGGCAAUGGGACAGUCACUCAGUCAGUCAGACACGUUAGGCAAUGGGAUGGUCAGUCAGUUAGUCAGUCAGACACGUUAGGCAAUGGACAGUCAGUCAGUCAGACAGACACGUUAGGCAAUGGGACGGUCAGUCAGUUAGACACGUUAGGCAAUGGGUCAGUCAGUCAGUCGACAUGUUAUUAUUAGGGUCUACAGUUUACCUCCGCCCCCUUGGUCUAUCCCUCUGACCUGAGGUACGUAGAGGAGUCUACAGUCCAUUACUAAUCAAACAUCGUCUCUCUGUCUGUCUCUCCUUAGGCAUGUGACAUAGAGCCCAAUCAGAGUGACAGAGACCCUUUUUGGAGUGUUGCCAUCGAGAGGAGGGGACUCCCUGUCCAGACACCCAGGCGCCCCCCCAACAAACACACACACACACACACACACACACACACACACACACACACACACACACACACACACACACACACACAAACUCCAGGAGUGCUGUGAACAGGGACAGUCAAAGUGGCUGUCAGAAGUACUGAACAACUUCAUCUCAAGGCUGCGUCCCAAUAGUAUAAGACAUUGUCAUCUCCUCAUCUCCUUUCCUCUUCCUCAUCUCCUUUCCUUCAUGAGCUGAUCUGUUUGUACUGGAUAUGUUAAAUAGGUUCGUUUACACAAUUAGAAUGGGCAAAUGUGAAAUAGCACCUCAUGUCCUAUUGCACUAUAUAACAUUGGGUAUUAUUUCUGACACAGCCCUAGUUUAUAAACUUUUACAAGUCAUGGAGGAGACUAGGGGAGGAUAUUAGGAAGGAGAUUAAGGAAAUUAAGCUUUGUAAAAGUAUUGGGACACUGUCAGACAGACAAACACCAUCUCACAUACUAUGCGUCCUUUAUACAAAACUUGAGCUGGAAGAGUAUUUAAGAAAUGGCUUUUUAUAAUAGAAGUAUAUUUGUAAUUUUAUAGAGCUGGUCAUUGUACAUUUAUCAAUAAUACUUGUUUGUGAUAUAUAUUUGUAUCUACAUGUAAAUAAUAAUUGUUUCAGAUUCUAUUGCAUUGGCAUUAAAACGCUUAUAUGAUGGGUUUUAGGUUGGUCACUCAUUGACUGGAGUUAAGAUGUGUUGAUGCUUUUAAAGAAUGUGAAAGAAAAAGUGGAUUAACUCUGAAAACUGGAAUCCAACAAAAUGUAUUUAAUACAGCUAAUGUCUAUUGUCUAUAAGAGAUCAUAUUAAAGUUAAAUAUUAUUCUUUUAAAACAUGUCUCUU
ensembl:lncRNA